UUAGCAUGGAACAAUGCCCUACGACAUGUGGUUCUAUUUUGUAGGUUGACCUUCCGGUCAAAGUGAUUCUCGCUGACUCUGUGGGGGAUCCGUAUUCAAUUGUCAGAGGUGAAAUUGUUGUAUUUAAUGUGUACUUGCUACUGACUAAGCUUUUGUUGAGGAUGUUUUCCCUAAUCAAGAACGAAAGUUUGGGGAUCCAAUACGAUCUAAUACCGACGUAAUCGUAACCAUCAACUAUGCCGAUUAGGGAUCGGACGGCGUUAUUUUUUGACCCGUUCGGCACCUUACAAUAAAUCAAUCAGUUUGGACUCCUGAGGCAGUAUGGCCUCAAGGCUGAAGGUUAUGGAAAUUGACCGAAGGGCAACACCAAUGGUGGAGCCUGCUCCUUAAUUUGACUCGCCCUUCCGAAACUCACUUUGUCCAGACCCUUGAGGAUUGACAGAUUGAGAGCUCUUUCUUGAUUUUUGGGUGGUGGUGCAUGGCCGUUCUUAAUUGGUGGACUGAUUUGUCUGCUUAAUUGCAAUAACUAACGAAAACUACAACUGCUUCAUAUCCCGUAUUGUUUUGUCACUUUCCCUGCUUAUUAAAGGGACUAUCGUUUCAAGACGAUGGAACUUUGAUUAAACAUCAGGUCUGUGAUGCCCUUAGAUGUUGAGGGCCGAAUACUGAUGCCACUGACUGAGCCUAUUAAUCACUCCCUUGGUCCUAGGCCCAACUAAUCUUGUUAACACCUGUCUAUGCUGUUAAUACAUGCUAGCAAU
rnacentral:rRNA from 1 species